GAUGAACGCUGGCGGCGUGCCUAAUACAUGCAAGUCGACCGAACGGACGAGAAGCUUGCUUCUCUGAUGUUAGCGGCGGACGGGUGAGUAACACGUGGAUAACCUACCUAUAAGACUGGGAUAACUUCGGGAAACCGGAGCUAAUACCGGAUAAUAUUUUGAACCGCAUGGUUCAAAAGUGAAAGACGGUCUUGCUGUCACUUAUAGAUGGAUCCGCGCUGCAUUAGCUAAUUGGUAAGGUAACGGCUUACCAAGGCAACGAUGCAUAGCCGACCUGAGAGGGUGAUCGGCCACACUGGAACUGAGACACGGUCCAGACUCCUACGGGAGGCAGCAGUAGGGAAUCUUCCGCAAUGGGCGAAAGCCUGACGGAGCAACGCCGCGUGAGUGAUGAAGGUCUUCGGAUCGUAAAACUCUGUUAUUAGGGAAGAACAUAUGUGUAAGUAACUGUGCACAUCUUGACGGUACCUAAUCAGAAAGCCACGGCUAACUACGUG
rnacentral:rRNA from 1 species